UCAAAAACGAUGACGGAGAAAAGUAGCUUGAAGCUGGCCAUUAAGGGAGAAAAUGCCGAUGACUGGAAGCAUUUUUAUGGAGCAGGCAAGCGAAGUUCACCUCCUGAGUUGGCAUCGGGACCGCUUUUUUACAGAAGCGUAAAGAUGCAUCGGCACAAAGCCGUUAUCUCAAUGAAGCGAACACGUAAUACAUAUUGUAUUGCCUGUUAAAAAGGGUGGUACCGCGAUAACCAAGACCUCGUCCCUUUA
rnacentral:ncRNA from 1 species